GAAUGCGGGUAGUCGCUGUCGCAGCCGUUUUUGACGGCGGGCGAUAGAGGAAAGUCCAGGCUCGCCCAGGCUGAGAUGUCUGGAGUGUUCGUACCUGGUGCAAACCAGGGCAGUGAGGCAUUGCGCUUUGCUGACGGCGCGAAAAGGGUUCUCUAGUAGACCCGAGUACGCUGAAAGUGCCACAGAAACGUAGCUUUUCUGGCGACAGAAAAGAUGGAACGCGGUAAACCCUGCGAGCGAGAAACCCAAAUUUGGUAGGGGAACCGUCCUGAAGGAAUCAAACGGAAGGGACGGAUGGCAAUUUUGCCAUAGAUAGAUGGCUACCGCUCUUUGUGCGAGGGGAUGCCCCGAUUGCAGCACGGGAGAGACAGAACCUGGCUUAUAGCA
rnacentral:RNase_P_RNA from 1 species